UAUCCAUUGGAGGGCAAGUCUGGUGCCAGCAGCUGCGGUAAUACCAGCUCCAAUAGCGUAUAUUAAAUUUGUUGCAGUUAAAAAGCUCGUAGUUGGACUUGUGUGCGCUGUCCGCGGGUGGCCUGCGCCCAAAAGGGCGUUUCGGUUCGGCCCCGGUGGCGCCUUGAAAUCUGCAGCUGGGGGGACGUUGGCCUUAACUGGUCGGCGACCGCACGCCGGCUGCUCGGUUACUGUGAGAAAAUUAGAGUGUUCAAGGCAGGCAUUGGGUGCAAUUGAAUACAUUAGCAUGGAAUAAUAAAAUAUGGCUCCUGCCGUAUUUUGUUGGUUUUGACUGGUGGGAGUAAUGAUUGAUAGGGACGGUUGGGGGUGCUAGUAUUGAGCGGCCAGAGGUGAAAUUCAUGGAUUCGCUCAAGACUAACUUAUGCGAAAGCAUUCACCAAGGACGUCCUCUUUAAUCAAGAACGAAAGUUGGGGGAUCGAAGACGAUCAGAUACCGUCGUAGUCUCAACCAUAAACUAUGUCGACUUGGGAUCGGCGGUAGUUUUUUCAUUAAGACACUGUCGGGACCACGGGAGAAAUCAAAGUGUCUGGACUCUGGGGGAAGUAUGGUCGCAAGGCUGAAACUUGAAGGAAUUGACGGAAGGGCACCACCAGGAGUGGAGCCUGCGGCUUAAUUUGACAACACGGGGAAACUUACCAGGUCCAGAGAUGUAGAGGAUUGACAGAUUGAAGCUCUUUCUUGAUCACUUCGGUGGUGGUGCAUGGCCGUUCUUAGUUGGUGGAGUGAUUUGUCUGGUUAAUUCCGUUAACGAACGAGACCUCAGCCUGCUAGUGUAGUCGGCUGGAUUGCCUUUGGCGAUCCGUGAUUUCGACUUCUUAGAGGGACAAUCGACGCGCAGUCGAUGGAAGUUUGAGGCAAUAACAGGUCUGUGAUGCCCUUAGAUGUUCUGGGCCGCACGCGCGCUACACUGCUGGGCUCAGCGAGUUUUACUUGGCCGAGAGGCCCGGUUAAUCUUGUGAAAUCCCAGCGUGCUUGGGCUCGCCUCCUGCAACUGGAGGCGCCAACGAGGAAUUCCUAGUAGACGCAGGUCAUCAACCUGCAUCGAUUACGUCCCUGCCCUUUGUACACACCGCCCGUCGUUCCAUAAGAGUGAGGCAUCCGGUGAAUUCUCGGGAGAGCCUGGGCGUGGCCAGCAAUGGUCUGCUCGGGUUUGAACUUGCAUAAACUUGG
rnacentral:rRNA from 1 species